rnacentral:rRNA from 1 species
ACUCCUACGGGAGGCAGCAGUGGGGAAUCUUGGACAAUGGGGGCGAACCCUGAUCCAGCCAUGCCGCGUGAGUGAUGAAGGCCCUAGGGUCGUAAAGCUCUUUCGCCAGGGAUGAUAAUGACAGUACCUGGUAAAGAAACCCCGGCUAACUCCGUGCCAGCAGCCGCGGUAAUACGGAGGGGUUAGCGUUGUUCGGAAUUACUGGGCGUAAAGCGCGCGUAGGCGGACUAUUAAGUCAGGGGUGAAAUCCCGGGGCUCAACCCCGGAACUGCCUUUGAUACUGGUAGUCUUGAGUUCGAGAGAGGUGAGUGGAAUUCCGAGUGUAGAGGUGAAAUUCGUAGAUAUUCGGAGGAACACCAGUGGCGAAGGCGGCUCACUGGCUCGAUACUGACGCUGAGGUGCGAAA